UGAUGUUUUAACAAAAAUUGGUAGCACCAAACAUACGUAGAUGAGUACAUCAACCGUGUAAAUUACACCACAAGUGAAAGAUAAUGGAUUACCAGCAGUAUACAUUUGCGUAUGCAGUGGAUAGUGAUCAUUUAAGGCCAUUUGUUUACUAAUAAUCUCGAUUUUUGCCAUAUAGGUGAUAAGACUAUACGUUGGCCAAAAAACUGGUUGAUAGGAAUCAGGUUCGGUUGGUUAAAAAUCUAGAAUUCAAUUGGAAUGGUAGA